rnacentral:rRNA from 1 species
UACGUAGGGUGCAAGCGUUGUCCGGAUUUACUGGGCGUAAAGAGCGCGCAGGCGGUCGUUCAAGUCGCGUGUGAAAGCCCCCGGCUCAACUGGGGAGGGUCACGCGAUACUGAUCGACUCGAAGGCAGGAGAGGGUAGUGGAAUUCCCGGUGUAGUGGUGAAAUGCGUAGAUAUCAGGAAGAACACCCGUGGCGAAGGCGGCUUUCUGGGACGGUACUGACGCUGAGACGCGAAAGCGUGGGGAGCGAACAGG